rnacentral:lncRNA from 1 species
CGUUUUCCCAUACUCCCCACCAAUCCCUCGGUGGUUUGUAUUCCAUUUCUAUUCAUUUUCCAUACUCCCCACCAGUUCCUCGGUGGUUCUUAUUUCAAUCAUUUAACUUUUCCUUUUUCUUUUCAUUUCCUUCUCCUUAAACCCUUAGACUCUUUCUUACUUUCCUUUUUAAACGCCACCCGUUCUCGGUGUCACACUCAAUCCAUUUAACAAUCAUGCAUAGAUAUUCUAUCAUUCAUCUAACCAGACCGGUUAACAUUUCUCUUAUGAUCCUAC